GACGAACGCUGGCGGCGUGCUUAACACAUGCAAGUCGAACGGAAAGGCCCUGCUUGCAGGGUACUCGAGUGGCGAACGGGUGAGUAACACGUGGGUGAUCUGCCCUGCACUUCGGGAUAAGCUUGGGAAACUGGGUCUAAUACCGGAUAGGAGCCAUCUUUAGUGUGGUGGUUGGAAAGUUUUUUCGGUGAAGGAUGAGCUCGCGGCCUAUCAGCUUGUUGGUGGGGUAAUGGCCUACCAAGGCGGCGACGGGUAGCCGGCCUGAGAGGGUGUACGGCCACAUUGGGACUGAGAUACGGCCCAGACUCCUACGGGAGGCAGCAGUGGGGAAUAUUGCACAAUGGGCGCAAGCCUGAUGCAGCGACGCCGCGUGGGGGAUGAAGGCCUUCGGGUUGUAAACUCCUUUCGCUAGGGACGAAGCUUUUUGUGACGGUACCUAGAGAAGAAGCACCGGCUAACUACGUG
rnacentral:rRNA from 1 species